ensembl:lncRNA
CUUAAAUUGAAUUGAGAACAGGCAGGCCAGCAGGAGGGGGGAGAGAGAGAGAGCAGGCAGGCCAGCAGGAGGGCGAGAGAGAGAGCAGGCAGGCCAGCAGGAGGGAGAGAGCGAGAGCAGGCAGGCCAGCAGGAGGGGGAGAGAGAGAGCAGGCAGGCCAGCAGGAGGGAGAGAGAGAGAGAGCAGGCAGGCCAGCAGGAGGGAGAGAGCGAGAGCAGGCAGGCCAGCAGGAGGGGGAGAGAGCGAGAGCAGGCAGGCCAGCAGGAGGGAGAGAGAGAGAGAGCAGGCAGGCCAGCAAGAGGGGAGAGAGAGAGCAGGCAGGCCAGCAAGAGGGGGAGAGAGAGAGCAGGCAGGCCAGCAGGAGGGGGAGAGAGGAGGGGAAGGCAGAAGUGUGCUCAUAUGUUUUGGUAAUCUGCAUCUCACAAUGUCUGGUCUUGCAUGCUUUACAAAUUCACCAAAGUAGCCUAAAGUUCACCUUCACCCUGUAUUUUCAUCAAGGCCUUAGUUUGUCAACGUGACCACCAGCCCAGGGCGUAUCUACCCUUCUCUGUUCCUGCCUCUAACUUCCCUCUGUAACUGGGUAUAUAAUACAAACCAACACAGUGAUCCAUUCAGCACCGAGACUCAC